rnacentral:rRNA from 1 species
GUCUACAGCCAUGCUAUCCUGAACAAGCCCCAUCUCAUCUGAUCUUGGAAGCUAAGUAGGGUUCGGCCUAGUUAGUACUUGGAUGGGAGACCACCUAGGAAGACCAGGUGCUGUAAGCA